rnacentral:rRNA from 1 species
UACAGAGGGUGCAAGCGUUGUUCGGAAUUAUUGGGCGUAAAGCGCGUGUAGGCGGCUUAGCAAGUCGGGCGUGAAAGCCCUCGGCUCAACCGAGGAAGUGCACCCGAAACUGCUGAGCUUGAGUGCCGGAGAGGAUGGCGGAAUUCCCCAAGUAGAGGUGAAAUUCGUGAGAUAUGGGGGAGGAACACCGGUGGCGAAGGCGGCCAUCUGGAUCGGUAACUGACGGCUGAGACGGCGAAAGCGUGGGGAGCAAACAGG